GCUACUAGUUUUCAAAGCCUGAAGACCAAAGAUCACAUAGGUAGUUGUUUCAAAGUCGAAGGACCAUAUAGUUGGCCAGGGGACCAAGAGCUCCAGUCGCAGCUCCUUCUUUUCUUGUUGAAUCUGCUUCUCCUGGAUGCGAGCAUUAUCCAAAGCAACUUUCAGCAGACCCUGUCAAGAAAUAUUGUUGACCUGAAUGUUGGUCAACAGAGUCUCCACGGAGGACAGACUAUCGGCAAAAAUGAAUGGUCCAGG